CCUGCCCACACCAUCAGCCUGCCGCAGGAACCGUGAUAGCGGAGGAAGGGCCAGCCCUCCGUGCCUGGAAACAUCUACGAGAGCAGAGGAAUGCCCCAACCAACACCAGGAGGGUGAAGACUAGCACAUGCCUCCUCCAACACAUCAGCCAUCUUUUCCAACUGCUGCUGCUUCCAUACAUCAGCUCACAGAUGCCCUGUGCUGAUCCACAUCACCCUAGGAGUGAUGAGGGCAAAGAGUGCCAUCUACCCACCCAGAGAGAGCAAAGCCAACUGUACUCUCUCAGGGCUCUGGCAGCUGAUGGCAAGCUGCAUGAGUGGGAUUCAAACCAGAGAAUCCCCACCCGAUCAUGGUGGCAGUGCCACUUGGAGCCUAUGAACAUUAUUUUUUAACCUUCCUGGAACCUUGCAAAUAAAUGUUGCUAAAUCUU